GAACCCGCACAAGCAGUGGAGCGCCUGGUUUAAUUCGAUGACUAGCGAAGAACCUCACCUGGGCUUGAACUGUAGCUGCAAACCUCCAGAAAUGGAGAAGUCCUUCGAGGGUGCUAUAGAGGUGAUGCAUGGCUGUCGUCAGCUCGUGUCGUGAGAUGUCGGGUUAAGUCCCACAACGAGCGCAACCCCUAUCCUGUGUUAAAAUUUCUCAGGAGACUGCCCUGUUAUAACAGGGAGGAAGGAGGGGAUGACGUCCAGUCAUCAUGUCCCUUAUGUCCAGGGCUACACAGACGCUACAAUGGCUACUACAAUGGGUUGCUAAACCGCGAGGUCAAGCUAAUCCCAUCAAAAGUAGUCCCAGUUCGGAUUGAAGGCUGAAACUCGCCUUCAUGAAGUUGGAAUUGCUAGUAAUCGUGUAUCAGCAUGGCACGGUGAAUACGUUCUCGGGUUUU
rnacentral:rRNA from 1 species